GAAUCUUCCACCAUGGACGAAAGUCUGCUGGAGCAACGCCGCGUGAGCGAUGAAGGCCUUCGGGUCGUAAAGCUCUGUUGUUAGGGAAGAACAAGUACCGGAGUAACUGCCGGUAACAUGACGGUACCUAACCAGAAAGCCACGGCUAACUACGUGCCAGCAGCCGCGGUAAUACGUAGGUGGCAAGCGUUGUCCGGAAUUAUUGGGCGUCAAGCGCGCGCAGGCGGUCCUUUAAGUCUGAUGUGAAAGCCCACGGCUCAACCGUGGAGGGUCAUUGGAAACUGGGGGACUUGAGUGCAGAAGAGGAAAGCGGAAUUCCACGUGUAGCAGUGAAAUGCGUAGAGAUGUGGAGGAACACCAGUGGCGAAGGCGGCUUUCUGGUCUGUAACUGACGCUGAGGCGCGAAAGCGUGGGGAGCAAACA
rnacentral:rRNA from 1 species